UUUUAGAAAAAAACUGCCCUAUAUAUUGCGCCAGGGAUAUGUCCCCUCGCUGUGCGUAAACCAAGCUUUCGCUAAUUUGGCGCAUUCAACCCAAAACCAGCAAUGAGGUUUUUAUGCUGCUGUUUUAUUUUCACGAUCUGCGCGGUUCUAGUUUCAGCUGACUCAGAGACACGACCAGCCAGGUGUUCUAAGCCACCGGAAGCUGGUAACUGCCGAGCAUACAUCCCUACUUGGUAUUUUGAUUCGAAUAUGACAAGAUGUAGAAUGUUCGUAUAUGGUGGUUGCGGCGGAAAUGACAACCAGUUCCAUUCAGAAAAGAAGUGCCAAUCUGUGUGCCUAGCACCAUGGCAGCGGAAACGUGUCUGCAGUCCUAAACCUAAACCUGGAGGUUGCAACAUCGCUUCGUAUUUCUGGUAUUUUGAUCCUGUUUCAGCCACUUGCCAUAGGUAUAGGCGCGGCCUCUGUGAACGAAGCGCUAACAAGUACCCAUCGUGUCAACAGUGUAUGGCGACUUGCACAAAUAUGGAUUUUCGACAGAUAUGCCGGUCGCUUAUGGAGUCUGAACCCGGCCCAGGUGGACCUGAAUAGGCAACUACGUUCAGCUACUAUUCUUUAUCGCUUACAAGGACGGUGUUGGUCAUGUUGCCAACGCUUUGAUGGAGCUUGAAAAUGAACCUUUCAAUGCAUACAAAUAACAAACUGUGUUGUAUUCUCAUCCUAGAAACAAGCUGAUUGUGCCUACCAAAAACACGGAGUCUGUCUUUCUAUCUGUCUGUUUGUCUGCCUAUGUAUCCAACCGCUUUCCCACCAACUUGGGUCACGGGGUAGGCCAGGGUCUAAUUCUUAGAACAUUGGGCUGCUACGUGGAGAAAACCAGGGCUCGAAACCUAGAGUGUUUUAACGUUAAACCAUUCCAAUCUGUUUCUAUUUCUGCCACAAGCCCUUCACUA